GAGUUUGAUCAUGGCUCAGAUUGAACGCUGGCGGCAGGCUUAACACAUGCAAGUCGAACGGAAGUUACUAGCUUGCUAGUAACUUUAGUGGCGAACGGGUGAGUAACAUUUAGGAAUCUGCCUCAUAACGGGGGAUAGCUCGGGGAAACUCGAAUUAAUACCGCAUACACCCUACGGGGGAAAGGUGGCGCAAGCUGCCGAUAUGAGAUGAGCCUAAAUCAGAUUAGCUAGAUGGUGGGGUAAAGGCCUACCAUGGCGACGAUCUGUAACUGGUCUGAGAGGAUGAUCAGUCACACCGGAACUGAGACACGGUCCGGACUCCUACGGGAGGCAGCAGUGGGGAAUAUUGGACAAUGGGCGAAAGCCUGAUCCAGCCAUGCCGCGUGUGUGAAGAAGGCCAUAAGGUUGUAAAGCACUUUAAGCAGGGAGGAAGAACUUUUAGUUAAUAGCUAAAAAGUG
rnacentral:rRNA from 1 species